rnacentral:rRNA from 1 species
UACGUAGGGGGCUAGCGUUGUCCGGAAUCAUUGGGCGUAAAGAGCGUGUAGGCGGCCCGGUAAGUCCGCUGUAAAAGUCAAAGGCUCAACCUUUGAAUGUCAGUGGAUACUGCCGGGCUAGAGUCCGGAAGAGGCGAGUGGAACUCCUGGUGUAGCGGUGGAAUGCGCAGAUAUCAGGAAGAACACCAACGGCGAAGGCAGCUCGCUAGGACGGUACUGACGCUGAGACGCGAAAGCGUGGUGAGCGAACAGG